GACGAACGCUGGCGGCGUGCUUAACACAUGCAAGUCGAACGGAAAGGCCCUGCUUUUGUGGGGUGCUCGAGUGGCGAACGGGUGAGUAACACGUGAGUAACCUGCCCUUGACUUUGGGAUAACUUCAGGAAACUGGGGCUAAUACCGGAUAGGAGCUCCUGCUGCAUGGUGGGGGUUGGAAAGUUUCGGCGGUUGGGGAUGGACUCGCGGCUUAUCAGCUUGUUGGUGGGGUAGAGGCUUACCAAGGCUUAGACGGGUAGCCGGCCUGAGAGGGUGACCGGCCACAUUGGGACUGAGAUACGGCCCAGACUCCUACGGGAGGCAGCAGUGGGGAAUAUUGCACAAUGGGCGGAAGCCUGAUGCAGCAACGCCGCGUGCGGGAUGACGGCCUUCGGGUUGUAAACCGCUUUCGCCUGUGACGAAGCGUGAGUGACGGUAAUGGGUAAAGAAGCACCGGCUAACUACGUG
rnacentral:rRNA from 1 species